rnacentral:tRNA from 1 species
CGGAGUGUAGCUUAGCCUGGUAGAGCGCUCGCUUUGGGAGCGAGAGGUCGCAGGUUCGAAUCCUGCCACUCCGA